rnacentral:rRNA from 1 species
AUUCUUCGGAUGAUUUCAUUUGUGACUGAGCGGCGGACGGGUGAGUAACGCGUGGGUAACCUGCCUCAUACAGGGGGAUAACAGUUGGAAACGAUUGCUAAUACCGCAUAAGCGCACAGUACCGCAUGGUACCGUGUGAAAAAACUCCGGUGGUAUGAGAUGGACCCGCGUCUGAUUAGCUUGUUGGUGGGGUAACGGCCUACCAAGGCGACGAUCAGUAGCCGACCUGAGAGGGUGAUCGGCCACAUUGGAACUGAGACACGGUCCAAACUCC